rnacentral:rRNA from 1 species
AGAGUUUGAUCAUGGCUCAGGAUGAACGCUGGCGGCGUGCCUAAUACAUGCAAGUCGAGCGAACCACUUCGGUGGUGAGCGGCGAACGGGUGAGUAACACGUAGGUGAUCUGCCCAUCAGACGGGGACAACGAUUGGAAACGAUCGCUAAUACCGGAUAGGACGAAAGUUUAAAGGUGCUUCUGGCACCGCUGAUGGAUGAGCCUGCGGCGCAUUAGCUAGUUGGUAGGGUAAAGGCCUACCAAGGCGACGAUGCGUAGCCGACCUGAGAGGGUGAACGGCCACACUGGGACUGAGACACGGCCCAGACCCCUACGGGAGGCAGCAGUAGGGAAUCUUCGGCAAUGGGCGAAAGCCUGACCGAGCAACGCCGCGUGAAUGAUGAAGGCCUUCGGGUUGUAAAAUUCUGUUAUAAGGGAAAAACGACUUUAGUAGGAAAUGGCUAGAGUGUGACGGUACCUUAUGAGAAAGCCACGGCUAACUACGUGCCAGCAGCCGCGGUAAUACGUAGGUGGCGAGCGUUAUCCGGAAUUAUUGGGCGUAAAGAGCGCGCAGGUGGUUGAUUAAGUCUGAUGUGAAAGCCCACGGCUUAACCGUGGAGGGUCAUUGGAAACUGGUCGACUUGAGUGCAGAAGAGGGAAGUGGAAUUCCAUGUGUAGCGGUGAAAUGCGUAGAGGUAUGGAGGAACACCAGUGGCGAAGGCGGCUUCCUGGUCUGUAACUGACACUGAGGCGCGAAAGCGUGGGGAGCAAACAGGAUUAGAUACCCUGGUAGUCCACGCCGUAAACGAUGAGUGCUAAGUGUUGGGGGUCGAACCUCAGUGCUGAAGUUAACGCAUUAAGCACUCCGCCUGGGGAGUACGGUCGCAAGACUGAAACUCAAAGGAAUUGACGG